GAGACUACGCUGCACAAAGAACCCCAGCUCUGGAAGCGGAAGACUUCCUGAAGUCUUCACAAAGACAGCACUUCUCAAAGAAAGGAAUGGAACAGCUUUGCUCCCUGGCUUCCUGGCUGGGACCUGCAUCAGGACUGAUACCGGUUGAGGAUAGUGGUUACCAGUCAUCGGUGUUGCCUUACAAGUCCUACGGCAACUGUUACUGUCUUUGUGUUUCUGUCACCCCAGGUUUGCUGGUAUACUGCACACAGAAGCUCCAUCAAACCCUGAAAACCUGACUGACUGACUCCAGGCUGACUUUACAAGGGUGAGCAGCUGUAUAAGGUGAUGCUGGCCGCCUUGUCAGCUCCUGGAGUUACAGUAGACUUUUUUCUUUCAGGCCAGGCUGAUCUUGACCUACAAGGCCUUCUGCUUCAACCUCUGAAGUGCUGGAAUUAUAGCUCUAGGAGAAAAGUGGAUUAUGCAAACAGAUACUUCACCCAGAUUGGUGGCCCUCAGUGACUCCUUGUGCUGAUGCCCUUGCUGGGAGAGGAAGCCAAGGCCCAGGAAAGAAGACGAGAAAAGAGGCAUUUUCUGACCAGAGCAGAUCACAUUCUGGGUCCUGCUUCAUGGUGAGCAGGAGUUUAAAGGAUUUCAGGUAUCAAAACAGCAGCAAAUUAAGAUGAACUAGCAACCUUGGCCUGCUGCCUUGUUAGGCCUAAGGCAGGGAAACUGGGCUGAUGUGCUCUACGGCUUGUGUUUUCUUUGGAAGUUGGGCUAUUGCUUAGAGACAGAUGUCUACUACCAUUCCUGAAGAGCGUGCUCUGGGUUCCUGGGAUCCAUAGGCUGAGCUCUUGUAUGUAGAGGCACCCCUUUUCCUAGCAUUCUAUGUCAUCUCAGGUCACCUCCAGCCUUUUGUUUACAUCCCAGCUGACAGAUGCAAGAGAUUAUUGAGUUGUGGUCUAAACACUCGGGAGGCCAGAUACCUGUAAGUGCUAUGGAACAUACAGUUUAGUUUAGGGAAGAUAUCUGUCCUGGAAACUCAGAAGGCAGGAUCUGACCAAUGGGAGUUGGGGCUUGUCUCCUUUGCCUCUCCUCCCUAGGCCUGGAAAGGGAACCUACAGAGCUGUGAUGUUGGAAGCAGCUGCAGGAGUCCCUAUCCCCACCCAUCAGCCGUUGCUGCUCAUUGGCCUGUGCUUGGACACUCUACUGCACAAAGAGAGGGCCCAGAACUCCCAUCGGGAACUGAUGUGUGCCAGCCAUGAGCAGUGAGGGAAAGGUAAAUUGCCCAUCAGCCACCAUAUACCCAUAUUUUUCCCAUAAAAAACGUUUGCUGGAAAGGAUAUAUAUCAAGUCAAUAGAGACAGGAAAUCACUCCAGCCAUAAACUCUAAUCCUAGUGAGGUAGAUCAGAGGAGGCUGACAUUAUGUUUGACUUUCAGAUAAGGAAUGUCUAGCCCAGUGGGCCCUAAGGACCUCUUCUGGAGGAGGCAAACAGAACUGUCGUCUCCUCCUCCUCUUCCUCCUCCUCCCUUUGCCCCCCUCCACCUCUUCUCCCUCCCCCUCCUUGUUUUCCUUUUUUUUUUUUUUUUUUUUUUUUUUUGAGUCAAGGUAUUGCUCUGUAGCCUAGGUUGGCCUCAAACUCAAGAUGCUCCUGCCUCAGCCUCCUGCAUGCUGGGAUUACAGGUGUGUGAUACCUACUCCUGCCAAAAGGAAUUGUUUCUGAGACUUCCUGUUCUCAUAGAUAGCAAACUGGUUAUGCAGAUGCUUGAGUGUUGGAGGCAGGAAAUAGAGCGGUAGUGAAAUCCCACAAGCCAACUUAACACUUGAUGUCUAAUUCAGGAUAAAGACUGAUUGCCUGGGCUACCUGAGGGAAUCCCCCGAGGUCUCUUAUUAGGUGUACACCACGUUGAAAACAUCAGCUGUUCUUGGUAACACUGCAGAUGGAUUUUAUUAUGAAGCACAAGUCCUGCAUGCUUAGUGUUACACACUCAAUAAAGAGGAGGCUAAUAUGAUUAAUGGCACAUAGAGCCUAUAAUGUGGUUGACGCGAGUGGGCUUUAAUAUAAACACCAUAGUUGCAUUUAUUGACAACCAGCUGAGGAUAGACUGCUCCAGGGAGAGGAGAAUGUGAUGUCACCUGAGCUCAGGAAUCAGUAUUAGAAAUAGCUCAGGGUAGGUCUCCGCGGAUGGGAGAGACAUGAGUGGGUUAAAAGAACGGGUGAGCUUUGGGUGGAGAGUAGGAGAGACAGGAGGGUCAGUGGGAGGGUUACAGAAGUCUAGAAGAGUAGGGCACACAUUUGCCCAUGUGUACUGUCAAGGCAGUGGCAGAGCUGGACUUUGGAAGAAGUCAAAGCUCAAGAAAAUUGGCCAUACUCACAUGGGUGUGUCAGCUUUCAAAACAGAUUAGCUCACUUGGUACAAGUAGAUUAUCCAUGUAACAUUCUGUACAACAGCCCCUGUUAAACUGGUGACUAAGGUAAUUACCCAUGAGUUCUCAGAAAUUCUCUUCCCAAAGAAGUCAGGGGAGAGGUUAGCCAUGAUUGUGGGUAUUGUGGGAUGGGCGGUGUGAGCCAUAGUCACCUGUGCCCAACUGGGAGGCCAAGUGGGAUCAUGUGCUCCUGUGCCUCACUCUCUUCCCUUCCCCCUCAGCCCCCAUCACACCAGCUAGCUCUCUCCUGUUCAUUCCUUCUUUUCCUGUUGCUAAGACAAAACACCUUACAAGAAGCAACUCAAGAAAGGAAGGGUUUGUUUGAGGUCAUAGUUUUGGGUAUAUCCUGUCUUUCCUGUCAAGGAAGGCUUGACAGCAGGAGAGCAAGGCUGUGGUCCUAGUCCAUCUGAGGUUAGGAAGCAGAGAAGGAGCAACAUUGUUGCUCUUUUGUUUUGUUUUGUUUUCAGUCCAGGAAACUUCCUCAAGACAUGCCUAAAGGUUUCAUCUCCUAGGAGCCUGUCAACUUGUCAAUAAGUAUUAUUGUCACAAGGCUCUAUGCUUGAAGUGACUUUAGUUUUACAUGAGGGAUCCUGAAACCCAGGAUCCCUCAGUGUGAGGAUUUCAGAGCUGUGGCCAGCAGAGAGGCCUCUUGACCACCAGCCCUCUGCAUCUGCCCUACAGAGGGAUUUGAUGAAGACAUUUCAUUCAGGGUUGAGGGUUCCAAGUUUCUCUUUCUCUCUCUCUCUCUCUCUCUCUCUCUCUCUCUCUCUCUCUCUCUCUCUCUCUCUCUCUCCCUCUCUCUCUCUCUCUCCCUCCCUCUCUCUCUCUCUCUCCCUCCCUCUCUCUCUCUCUCUCCUCUCUCUCUCCUCUCUCUCUCUCUCUCUCUUCUCUCCUCUCUCUCUCUCCCUCUCCCCCCCCCCCCACUGAUCUAUGAGUGUAGCAGUCAUUUUUUUGCUGUGUUUCUUCAGCAGAACAGUAGUGUUUGGUUUUCUGCAGACUCAGGUAUUUGGCCACCUGAGCAGUGUCAGGGAUGAGUUCUAUGGUGGUUUAAAUAUAGUUGCCCAGGGAUUAUUGGCACUAUUAGGAGGUGUGGCCUUGUUGCUGUAGGUGUGGCCUUGUUGGAGGAAGUGUGUCACUCUGCAGGGGUAGUGGGACUUUGAGACCCUCCCCCAAGCUACCUGGAAGCCAGUCUACCCCUGACUGCCUUCUGAUCAAGAUGUAGAACUCUUGUCUCCUUCUCCAGUACUGGGUCUGCCUGGAUGCUGCCACACAUCCUGCCAUGUUGAUAAUGGACUGAACCUCUGAACCUGUAAGAUAACCCCAAUUUUAUGUUGUCCUUUAUGAGAGAUGCCUUGGUCAUAGUGUCUCUUCUUAGCAGUGAAACCCUAAGACAGGUUUCAUCCCAUGAGUGGGCCUGGCAUCCAAUCAGAUAGUGGCUGGCUACUCUGUAAUGAGCAUGGCAUCCAAUCAGACACUGGCUGUUUACUCUGGAGUGGGCCUGGCAUCCAAUCAGAUAGUGGCUGGCUACUCCCACAAGCUCUGGGCCACUCUUGCUCCAGUGCAGCUUGCAGACAGGCCACUGUUGUAGAUCACAGGGUUGUUGUUGGCUUGGGAUUUACUGUUCUCCUCUGGUAGGUUACAUGGUACACUCCAGUAUCAUGAACAGCAGGGGUGAAGGCUCUAAGCUACCAGCUUGAUUUCUCUAUGCUCAGUGCGAUGGUAGGUCCUGACUUCAGCAACAGGGCCCUGCCAUUAGCUUGUGGAGAGCUAUGAGCAUCCUUGGCAGUGACCUGGGUUGUUCCUGGCUUCUCAUAGGGCCGGCUCCUUUGGCCAACCACUCAAUUAGACAUAACCCAUUCUCAGAACUGGAAGCUCCAUUUGGUGAGGAGAGAUGUCCAGCUGGGGCUUUGUAUCCCCUGUUUACAUCACCUUCAUAUAUGUUUAUGUUUUAGGAAGCUGGAACUGUAUUUAGGUUUCCCUAAGUCCCUCAAACGGCCGUUAGUUAGCUGUUCUUCCACGUGCUCUCGGCCACCCCUAAUUUGAGCCUCCAUUCCAACCUGCCACCCCCUGUUCAUCCAUAACGAUUCUAUUUCCCCUUCCUAGGGUGAUCCAACCCUCCUGCCAGCUCCUUACUCUAUACCUAACCUCUGGUUAUAUGGACUGCAGCUUGCUUAUCAAAUGCUUUGCACUGACAUCCACAUAAAAGCGAGUACAUUCCAUAUUUGUCCUUUUGAGUCUGUAUUACCUCACACAGGAUGCCUUUGCUGUGUUUUUCUCCCCCAGCUCCAUCCAUUGACCUGCUAACUUUACGAUGUCAUUUUUUAAACAGCUGAGUAAUAUUCCAUUGAAUAACUGUACCUCAUUUUCUUUAUCCACUCGCCCACUGACAGAUAUCUAGUCUGUUUCCAAUUUCUGGCCAUUAUGAAUAGAACAGCAGUGAGCAUGCUUGAGGAGGAAGUGCCUGCUGUGUGACUUAGCAUCCAUUGGGUAGAUGGCCUAGAGUGGUAGAGCUGGAUCUGAGGUGGGCUUAUUCCCAGCUUUCCGAGGAACUGCCGUACUUGUUCCCUAGUGGCUGUACAAGUUUGUACCAGGAACAGAUGACCUGCCCUGACCUCGCCUCCUCGCCAGAAUGAGCUGCCAUCUGAUUGACCUUGACAAUUCUGAGUGGUUUAAGAUGAAAUCUUAAAGUCGUUUGAUUUGCAUUUCCCUGAUGCCUGGGGAUGCUGAACAGUCCUUUAAGUGCUUCUCAGCCACUUGUGUUUAUCCUUUUGAGACCUGUACCCGAUCUUUUAAUUGGCUCAUUUGUUUUCUUGAAGUCCGGCUUUUAAAGUUCUUUAUGUAUUUUAGAUUUUAGCUCUCUGGAUGAUGUGUAGUUGGUAAUUUAUUCCCCAUUUUGUUUCCUGAUUUUGUAUGAAUGAUGGUGUCCUUUGCCAUACAGAAGCUUUUCUGUUUGCUGUGGUCCCAUUUAUUAAUUAAUCCCAGGUCUUAGUGCCUGUGCUAUUGGUGCUCUGUUCAGAGAGUCUUCUCCUGUGCCAAUGAGCUUAAGCCUAUUCCACACCCACACGCUCUCUUUGAUCAGGUUCAGGGUAUCUGGCAUUAUGUUGAGAUCUUUGAUCCAUUUGAAGUUGAGUUUUGUGCAGAGUGAUAAGUAUGGAUCUGUUUGCAUUUAAUUAAACCAGCCCCUUUUGUUGAAGAUGCUAUCUUUUUUUCCAGUGUGUAUUUCUGGCUUCUUUAUGAAAAAUCAGAUGUCCAUAGGUGUGUGGACAUAGGUCUGGGUCUUUGAUUCGGUUCCAUUGAUCAAUGUGCUUGUUUUUAUGCCAGUGCCAUGCUGUCUUUAUUACUGUAGCUCUGUAGUGCAGUUUGAGAUUUGUAGCACAGCGAUGCCUCCAGUGGUUCUUUUAUUAUUCAGGAUUGUUUUGGCUAUCAUGGUUUGUGUGUGUGCAUGUGUAUUUUCAUACAAGGUUGAGAAUUGCCAUUUCAAGUUAUGUGAAGAAUUGUGUUGGAUUUUGAUGGAAAUUAUAUUGAACAGAUAUGUUGGUUUUGGUAGGAUGGGUGUUUUUACUUUAUUAAUCCUAUUGAUGCAUGAGCAUGGGAGAUCUUUCCAUCCUCCGAUAGCUUCUUCAAUUUCUUUCAUCAAUGUCUUAAGGUUUUUUUUUUUAAUCAUACAAGUCUUUCACUUGCUUGAUUAGAGUUAAUCCAAGGUAUUUUCUUUUAUUUCUUGUGGCUGUUGUGGAAGAUAUUAUUUUCUUGAUUUUUUUUCUCAACUCAUUUGCCAUUUGUAUAUAGGAAAUUUACUUAUUCACCACCAUCACCCCCCCCACCCCCCACUUUGGUUUUUGAGACAGGGUUUCUCUGGGUAGCCCUCACUGUCUUAGAAUUGCUCUGUAGACCAGGCCUCAGCUUCACAGAGAUAGCCUGCUUCUGCCUCCCAGGUGCUGGGAUUAAAGGUGCGCACCACCACCUUCCAGCAAAGUCUACCGAUUUCUGUGUAUUAAUUUUGUGUCUUGUUACUUUGCAGAAAGAGUUCAUUAGGAAUUUCCUGAUGAGAUUUUUAGGGUCACUUAUGUAUACAAUCAUCUUCACAUAAAGAUAAUUUAACUUCUUCCCUUCUUGUUUGUAUCCCCUUGAUCUCCUUCAGUUGUCUUACUGCUCUAGCAAAGACUUCAAGUACUGCACUGAAUAGGUAUGGAGAGAGGGGACAACCUUGCCUUGUUCCUGAUUUUAGUGGGCAUGCUUUGAGUUUAUCUCCAUUUAGGUGGAUGUUGGCUGUGCGCUUGCUACAGACCACCUCAGUUUGUCGAGGUAUGUCCCUUAUAUCCCAAUGUCUCCAGGACUUGAAAGGACGUUGGAGAGUGAAGACUGCCCAAACCUGAUCCCCUGGCCAGCACAGUCAGCAGGUUUUGCAGGGAGAGAGCAGAGAGCCUCCAGCAUUGGUGUUCAGACCGAGAUCAUUACUCUCAGCACAAAAGCUCCUGGAGACUUUUGUUAUGGGCUCAGCCUAUUGGGUUUGUGAAAGAAGCUUGAUUUUUGGUUAAAGUGUUAAAGAAAGCAAUCUGCUUCCCGGGAGCAACUGUCCUAUAACACAGCAGCACAGUGAACAUCCCUGCCACUUGCUGUAUCCUUAGCUGAGUACAACCAACCAGACCUUGGUGUGGGAGGCUGCCUGGACACCCACACCUUCCUUCUCUGCACUCACAGCCUCUAUGAAAGGGCACUGGUCCACCAGGUCCUCUCAUCCUCUCCCUGCUCAUCCAAGCCCAGUGCUCUCUCAAGGAGAAGGUCUGGGUGAGGUGGUGUGAAAAAAAGAAUUCUUGUUGUGCACAUGGCUUUGUAUUUAACCAGUUCCUCAGUGCUGAAAAAGCAGGGGCCGAUCCUGCAAGAGACGAUAGGCAUUUUAUUAGGUAGGAAUCCUCAGCAGGACUGGCCUGCUUACCUUCUGGGGACCCAAGGGCAACCUCUACUGGCAGAAACAUGCUACUACAUCAGGAAUAUCCCAGGAAUGCUUUCUCUCUGAAAAAGACUGUUUCCCAACAUGUAUAUAAAUCACACACCACUUACAAGCGUUAAAGUUUCUGUGAGAUACAUCUAAAUGACAGUGCUCUGCAAAUCUAAAAAAGUGUUGCAUCAGCAGACCUUAAGUGGCUUGAAGCCCUUCCAAGACUUGAGAUGGACACUAGACCUAUGGAAGCAGUCACCAGCCCUGGGACUCAAGCCACAUCAGCCUGGCUACCAGCCCUCAUUUCAGCAGUUUCUUUCCACCAGGACAGUUAUCUGUGUGUUCUCUGUGUGUGCACAUGCCUGACUCUCUGUUUUUUAUACUACAUGCAUAUAAGGUGCCCAAAGGAAACCAGAAGAGUGCAUCAGAACCCACAUGGCUGGAAUUACAGGGGUUGUGAGUUGCUGGGAAUUAGACCCAUGCCCUCUGCAAGAGCAGUGAGCUCUCAAAGUGAGCUCUCUACUGCUGAGCUCGCCCCGAGAUGUUCCUUAUUGGUCUGCUUUCAUUUGUUUUCCUUUCCUUUCCUUUCCCUUUCCCUUUCCCUUUCCCUUUCCCUUUCCCUUUCCCUUUCCCUUUCCCUUUCCCUUUCCCUUUCUUUCUCUUUCUUUCUUUCUUUCUUUCUUUCUUUUCUUUUCUUUUCUUUCUUUCUUUCUUUCUUUCUUUCUUUCUUUCUUUCUUUCUUUCUAAGAUUUAUUUAUUUAUUUAUUUUAUGUGAGUACACUGUAGCUAUCUUCAGUAAUACCAGAAGAGGGCAUCGGAUCAGAUCCCAUUACAGAUGGUUGUGAGCCACCAUGUGGCUGCUGGGAAUUGAACUCAGGACCUCUGGAAGAGCAGUCAGUGCUCUUAACCACUCUCUAGCCCCUUUGAUCUGCUUUCGUAUUAAUAAUUAGUCAUUUUAGUUUAGGGUUCCUUUGGGCACCUAAAUCCUUACAAAUGCUGUAGCAAAUCCGGGCUCUGUGAAGAUGAAGUUCAAGAAAGAACCCAAAUGGAAGUGUCUUUGGCUUUCUUUGACCAUGAACCUCCCUGGAACUACCCUGGCAGGAGCAGAGGUACAACUGUGUCCCUCCCUCUGGCUGUUAGACUACUGAACAAUGGCCCAAAGGAUAAAAAUUUCCUGGAAAUCCUAUGCAGGGGGCAGGGAAUACUUGACAUGCUGGUGCUAGCUCAAGGAGGAGCCUGUCUCCAGAGAGAUUAUUUCACACGGUCUGACAACUAGUCAGAUCACCUUACAGAAGAGACUCGUGUAGACGUGCUGGGCAGGGGCAUACCUUUACCAGGACUGCAGAGUUAGGAUUAUCUCUUGCCCAAGCCUCUGGUUGAGGAACUACCUCAGUCAGUAAGGAGCCCGAGUUUGGAUCUCCAGCACCCAUGCUCAAAGCUGGACCUGGCUGUAACCAUCCACAAUCACUGUCUUAGAGAUGUCUCAGGGUAUUCUGCAGCCAGGAUAGGACACAAGAGGUCAAGACGACAGCUUCUGUGUUAUUUGCCUGUAGCCACUCCCCCAAGUCCUCUGGGAGCUCCUUAGGUCUGCUAGACUCAAGUAUGGUCCUGAGGUCACAAGGACCACUCAGUGAUCAAGACAGAGGCUUUGUGGUUGGCAUAAUCCCGGAGCAGGGAAGUGGAGGCAGGAGGAUCUUGCGCGCCCGACUCGCCAGCAAGAACGACGCCACAAUAGGAUCCUUCUGCACACGUUUAUUGGGAGAGCAUUGAUUGCAGAGGCGAAAGACCCUGAGCCCAGAAAUGGUGCUGCUUAUAUAGGCCUAGGAGUGACGUGUCCAUACCUGAUUGGUUAUGCUACCAGUACCUGAUUAAUAUGCGUCGGGCCAGGCAGUGACUGGACAAAAAAACUUUACUGCAUAUGUACACAUUGGUUAUUUGUCCAAACUUAUGCGUGGUGGCCAGCAGUAGCCAGCGCUACUCUGCAACGGCACAUGUGGCUUCCCACAGGAGGAUCCUGGGCUUGCUGGCCAGCUAGUCUAGCAGAAUCAGUGAGAGAACCAGAGAGUAAGGUAGAGAGCAACUGAGAAAGAUAACUGAUAUCUAACUCUGGCUUCCACAUAUACACACAAACAUACACAGAGAGAAACACCUACAGACACAGACACACACAAAGACACACAGACACAACACAGACCCAGACAUAUGCACACACACAAACACAGAAACACACACAUCCACAGAUACAACACAGAGAUACAUAUUCACACAGACACACACAAAAACACAGAGAAACACAUACAGACACAACACACACAGACACACAGGAACACAUACAGACACAACACAGACACAGACAUACAGACACAUACAUAGACAUACAGACACACACAGAGACAUACACAACACAGACACACAGAGACACACAAACACACAGCCACACAGAGAGACACAGACACAGGACAGACACAGACAGACACACACAGAUACACAGACACAUACACAGACACACACACACAGAAACACACACACGCAUUCUAAACCUCAUGUCAUGACCCUGAAUACAGACAUGGGUGUCCUGCACCUCACUGUUCCUCAUCUCAGUGUAGCCACAGACUGAAUAAACUUUUCUCUGCUUUUCACUA